rnacentral:rRNA from 1 species
GACGAACGCUGGCGGCGUGCCUAAUACAUGCAAGUAGAACGCUGAAGCGAGGAGCUUGCUCUUCUUGGAUGAGUUGCGAACGGGUGAGUAACGCGUAGGUAACCUGCCUUGUAGCGGGGGAUAACUAUUGGAAACGAUAGCUAAUACCGCAUAACAAUGGAUGUCACAUGUCAUUUAUUUGAAAGGGGCAAUUGCUCCACUACAAGAUGGACCUGCGUUGUAUUAGCUAGUAGGUGAGGUAAUGGCUCACCUAGGCGACGAUACAUAGCCGACCUGAGAGGGUGAUCGGCCACACUGGGACUGAGACACGGCCCAGACUCCUACGGGAGGCAGCAGUAGGGAAUCUUCGGCAAUGGGGGCAACCCUGACCGAGCAACGCCGCGUGAGUGAAGAAGGUUUUCGGAUCGUAAAGCUCUGUUGUAAGUCAAGAACGGGUGUGAGAGUGGAAAGUUCACACUGUGACGGUAGCUUACCAGAAAGGGACGGCUAACUACGUG